rnacentral:rRNA from 1 species
UACGUAGGGGGCGAGCGUUGUCCGGAGUUACUGGGCGUAAAGGGCAUGCAGGCGGUCCGACACGUUUUGUGUGACAGCGGGUGGCUUAACUACCCGAGGAUACGAAAGACGGUUGGACUUGAGGACUCGAGAGGGACACGGAAUUCCGGGCGGAGUGGUGAAAUGCGUAGAGAUCCGGAGGAACACCGAAGGCGAAGGCAGUGUCCUGGCGAGUGACUGACGCUGAGGUGCGAAAGCCAGGGGAGCGAACGGG